GAUGAACGCUGGCGGCGUGCCUAAUACAUGCAAGUCGAGCGAACAGACGAGGAGCUUGCUCCUUUGACGUUAGCGGCGGACGGGUGAGUAACACGUGGGUAACCUACCUAUAAGACUGGGAUAACUUCGGGAAACCGGAGCUAAUACCGGAUAAUAUUUCGAACCGCAUGGUUCGAUAGUGAAAGAUGGCUCUGCUAUCACUUAUAGAUGGACCUGCGCCGUAUUAGCUAGUUGGUAAGGUAACGGCUUACCAAGGCAACGAUACGUAGCCGACCUGAGAGGGUGAUCGGCCACACUGGAACUGCGACACGGUCCAGACUCCUACGGGAGGCAGCAGUAGGGAAUCUUCCGCAAUGGGCGAAAGCCUGACGGAGCAACGCCGCGUGAGUGAUGAAGGUCUUCGGAUCGUAAAACUCUGUUAUUAGGGAAGAACAAACGUGUAAGUAACUGUGCACGUCUUGACGGUACCUAAUCAGAAAGCCACGGCUAACUACGUG
rnacentral:rRNA from 1 species